GCAGAGCCAGGCCAGACCCUUUUGAGGGGGCUGCACGUGUAGCUGUGGGUCAUGGAGAAUAUGACUCAUAUUCUUGAACUCAGCAAGCUGACUGGGUAGUGUGACUGCAGUGUCCCUUGGGAACAUCCCAUGUCAGCUGUGGAAAAGGCAAGGAGCAAUUAUGUCAGGAGGAGGAGAUGUUAUUUUUCAGUGCCAUGGCUCUGCUGUGGAUGCUCAGAGAAGAGCUCGCAGGGAUCUCAGACUAAACAGACGUGUCAGAUGUGAUGCUAUGGCCAAAUACAGGUAUUUCCAAAUUGGUAUGGCUAUUAAAUAUAUGUGAGAUAAUAGCAAUCUGAGAAACACACGUGAUAGAAAUCUGGUGCGACCAAAUACUUGGUUUGGACAGAAUUAGAGUUUUAUGGUCUGAUUUUUAAAUGCAGCAACUCCAAAAGGCUUUUUCACACAGUAGAAAAGCUUCUUGUGCUGUUUCAAAGCUUAGCACAGAAAGCUGAUAAAUAGAAAGGAAGAUACAGCUUCCCAAAUAUAUCUUUUACAUACAAUCAAAAUGAAGAUCCUGACAUUAGGACAGGACAAGAUCCCAGAUUAAAGCUGCUGCGUGGCUUUCACUACCAAAAUACAGAGCCCAGCAUUACAUGACACUAAUCUAUGCGAUAGCACGGGCAGCUCGAGGCCCAUCAGGUCCAUCUGAUGAGGUUCUGCCACCAUCCCAUCUGUUUUAUAUUCAUCUGUCACCGAGACUCGGAGCCACUGGGGAGGGAAAAGAACUGGCAAUGUCAUGCCGUGGCUUUCUGACAUCCUUACAAGCAGUGUGGGAAUUGCUAGAGGAUGUUUCCCUGUGCUUAUCAGGGACAUCAAAAUGUAACUAAAUACCACUUAGGAGUAAAUACUGCUGUUAUCCAUCAGAAUUUCCAGAGCAGAAACUGCUGUUACAGCGUGUUUCAGCUGUUCCUGAACAAAAGGAGAUGUGUUGGGCACGGGGUGUCAGCUUCCCACCGGUACAGUCCCAAUUCCUGCUGGAGGCUCCACUACAGCCACUAAGGAAAAUGGUACAGUAUGGGCUCUCUGAGCUGGAAUGUGCUGCUAACACUCCGUGCAGUUGUCUCAGCCAAGUCUUCUUCUAAUUUGCUUUAACAGCAGAUGUUAAAAGGAAGAACAAAUCAAAGCAGCCAUGUACCCCGUGGGACUGAGGUUUCCUUGAGCUCGGCACUCAUCUCCAGCAGCAGCAGCAGUUGGCACCCAGGGAAGAGAAAAAAAAAAAAAAAAGAUAAAUAGACACUGAAAGUUCCCUGAAACAGCUCCUGAGCCUCUGGAGUGCCAAGCUGCCCUACUUUACUCCAUCACCUUGGAGAUGGAAAACACGUUUCUCUGCAAAAUCUGUUCGUCACGAUUCCCAAUUUUCUGUACCAGAGGAGAAGCUUGUACUGUGUGCUGGGAGAGAACAGGCUCCUCCCCAAAGCUGGCCAUGGAAAUGAACGUUUGGUAAGCCUUGGCAGAGGUUUUCAAGGAUGCCUAGAAAAUUAUAAUGCCCAAUUAAGUAGGAACUGGUCAUCCAAGUCCCUUAGGCGGUCCUGAAAAUUGCAACCACUCUGCACUGCAUCUGAUUUUCAGUCAGAUUUUCCCCUUCUGCUUCUCUUUGCACUCCUCUUCCAGCACCAUCCUGCUGGCACAGAGCUCCAGCUGAAGCCAAGGAGCAGGGCUUGGAAAGAUGGCAUUCCUGCAGCCUCAGUGGGGACAGGAGAGGGGAUAAUCUGCCCCUGCUGAGGCCAUUCAGAGCUGGAGCUUCUCCCUACUAGCUUAACUUCUUAGAAACUCCUGGGAGUUUUACCGUGUCCUUGAUUUCUUUCAGCAGCUCCACUCUGGGAAUGGGCUGUGCCUGGGCACAGAGGUGAGGGAAGCCCUUCACCUGGCAAAGGCUUGGGAGGUGAGAAAGGAGUGAAAAAGCCUCAUUAUUUUGGAGGUAAGUGGUGAAAUAGGUUUGCAAGAAAACAGGAGGGAAACCUGGUUCUGAGCAUGAGCAGGAACAGCAUCCCAAGCUUUCCUGGGAGCCACCCUCCAAUGCCACCUUUAAAUAUGGAAGACUUGCUCAUGGCCAGAGCACUGCUUCCCUCUCAUCUGGGUCUUAGUUUUCCACUGAUUCCCUCUGACCCACCCUUCUCAAUGACUAAAUCUCCCUUUCCCACAACCUGCUAUCAGUUGUUAUUCCUUCUCAGCCCUCCUUGUCAUCCAGAUCCAUCCAGUCUAUACGUGGCCCUGGAGUUCCUGAGCUGUGUUGGAAUUGUGCUGGUACUUCCCAGGAAUAAACCUGUUGGUUGUGCACAAGGCACGGUGGUGGGAUCCAAGGAAGGGAGAUGACCUUGUGUGACAGAGGUGACCUGGACAGAUGUUCCUUCUGGAAGUAUCAGGAGAUGGAGAGUGGCAACGGAACAUACAGGUGAGUGGGAUGAAAGCUCGCUGUUGUACGGGUUUGGAAAAACAUCCUCUGCACCUGCAGCAUUCCACAAGUGAGGAAUAACGGUGCCUUCCCAUCAAA